rnacentral:rRNA from 1 species
AUUGAACGCUGGCGGCAGGCCUAACACAUGCAAGUCGAACGGUAACAGGAAGAAGCUUGCUUCUUUGCUGACGAGUGGCGGACGGGUGAGUAAUGUCUGGGAAACUGCCUGAUUGAGGGGGAUAACUACUGGAAACGGUAGCUAAUACCGCAUAACGUCGCAAGACCAAAGAGGGGGACCUUCUGGCCUCUUGCCAUCGGAUGUGCCCAGAUGGGAUUAGCUAGUAGGUGGGGUAACGGCUCACCUAGGCGACGAUCCCUAGCUGGUCUGAGAGGAUGACCAGCCACACUGGAACUGAGACACGGUCCAGACUCCUACGGGAGGCAGCAGUGGGGAAUAUUGCACAAUGGGCGCAAGCCUGAUGCAGCCAUGCCGCGUGUAUGAAGAAGGCCUUCGGGUUGUAAAGUACUUUCAGCGGGGAGGAAGGGAGUAAAGUUAAUACCUUUACUCAUUGACGUUACCCGCAGAAGAAGCACCGGCUAACUCCGUG